rnacentral:lncRNA from 1 species
CUCCAGCCUUGGGUUCCCGCCCGGGCCUCGCCGCGCGCCUUCCGCUCUCCACGGGGCCUGCAGCCCGGGACCUGCUGCCCGCCACCCGCUACCCAGGGCUUCCUGCCGGCCGCCAGCGCCACCUGACCCUCCGACGAGAGCCCAGCACUGCCCAACCCAGGCCUUCUGUAGGGUCCCCUCCUCUCCACGUAUGGCCCCAUUAUCCCCACGUGGUCCCCCUCCUCCCCAUGGCUGCCCCAUGCCCAUGUAGGGUCCCCGUUUUCCUUGCGUGGGUUCUUCGUCCUCCCCAUGUGGGGUCCCGGCCCUCUCCAGGCUUCUGGAAGGCCGGUGAGCUGGAGACAAGCAUGGUCAGGGAGCCCCGGGAAGGCUGAGCAACGGCAGGAAAGGGACGGGCUCAGCGCAUUUCUGGGAAGUAAAGUGGCGGGAUCCCGAGGCAGCAGGAGUCCUGGCACCCAGGACCACAGUUUGAGAGGCCUGGCGCAAAAUGAAAAUGCAGGGCUCCUGCUCAGCAGUAACUCAGACGUCAAGAUGGCGACAGCAGAGCUUCCACCCAAGCCCGGAGCCCCGCCAGGUGCAGGCCGCACACCCGCGAACCCGCCCUGCUGCAUCUGCGAGUGGGGCGCCCAGGGAGGCGAGGGGCUCUGGGGGCUGCCUGGAGAGGCCUGACCCCUUCCUUUCCCGGAGGCCGCUCCCGAGCUAUGCCAAACCCGGGCUGCCGCGGCGCUGCCACCUGCUGGCCACCUCGGGCCCCUGCCGCGUCCCUCGGAGAGAAGGACCUUGUGUGGAGUGGGCAAGCGGCUUGGUGGCCCGGACCUCACCUUCACAGAAGAGAAGCUAGCCGGGGAGGGAGUUCACAUCGGCUACAGCACCCCAGUGACGGUGGCAGCACGUUACUGUCGCUCUUGAACUGUCCUGUGCCUUACAUCAGUAAGGUAGAGAUGAUGACCCCCCACUACAGGCUGACAGAUCCCACGGCCCUUCCAGGCCCACCUGAAAUGGCAUUUCCUCUACAAGCCUCUCCCUAAUUCUCAAGUUCACUCCAGAAAUGCUUGUGGAGCUCCUGCCCUGUGCCAGGCAUCGGACUAGGCCCGAACCCUUCGUGGAGAGCAUUGUAGAUGCUGGUGAUGGGGGCGGAGAGGUGGUGGGAGUCAAAUACUCACACUCAUGUUCUUAGAGGGAGAAUUGAGACUUGGCGCUGGCCGUGAGUGUGGCUAGGUGAAUCGGAAGAUUUAAAAGACAGCCAGUGAGGCUGGAGGGCAGAGAGUCAGGGGGCAGUUGGGAGUGGCUGGAAUUACCCUGGUAGUGCAAAGGUGUUGAGACCGGUUAAAAUUCUGGAGCUCCUGUGGAGGUAGAAUCGACUGGCAUUACAUGUUUGCCAAGCUACCUUCUCAUUCAGCCUCUGCUGUAGGUCUGCAAAUAAUCCAGUCCUGGUCCAGUGAGAGCUGUAUUUCUCCUUGAAGUUAAUACAUUUUUUAUAUGAAAAUUUUUAUUGUAAUAUAAUUCAUAACAGUAAUAGCCACCCUCUUAAGGGUACAGUUAAGUGGGGCUUUUUGGUAUAUUCACAAAGUUGCACAACCAUCACAACUACCUAGAACGUUUUCAUCGCCUCAAAAAGAGACCCCAUACCCAUUAGCAGCCACUGCCUAUUCCCCUCUGCCCCUGGCAACCACUAAUCUGCCCUCUGUCUACAGACUUGCUGAUUCUGGAUAUGUCAUAUAAAUGGAAUCAUAAAAUAUUUGGUAUUUGCA